rnacentral:rRNA from 1 species
AUACGUAGGUGGCGAGCGUUGUCCGGAAUUACUGGGUGUAAAGGGCGUGUAGGCGGGUAUGCAAGUCAGAUGUGAAAUACCGGGGCUCAACUCCGGGGUUGCAUUUGAAACUGUAUAUCUUGAGUGCAAGAGAGGGAAGUGGAAUUCCUAGUGUAGCGGUGAAAUGCGUAGAUAUUAGGAGGAACACCAGUGGCGAAGGCGGCUUCCUGGCUUGUAACUGACGCUGAGGCGCGAAAGCGUGGGUAGCGAACAGGAUUAGAUACCCUGGUAGUCCACGCCGUAAACGAUGGAUACUAGGUGUAGGAGGUAUCGACCCCUUCUGUGCCGGAGUUAACGCAAUAAGUAUCCCACCUGGGGAGUACGGCCGCAAGGCUGAA